UGCUUAACACAUGCAAGUGGAGCGACGAACCGGGCUUCGGCCCGGGGCAAAGCCGCGAACGGGUGAGUAUCACGUGGGUAACCUGCCCCGAUGACCGGGACAACCCGAGGAAACUCGGGCUAAUACCGGAUGUGCUCUCCAUCCACCAGGGUGGAGAACAAAGGAAGCUUCGGCCUCCGCAUUGGGAUGGGCCCGCGGCCCAUUAGCUUGUUGGUGAGGUAAAGGCUCACCAAGGCGACGAUGGGUAGCUGGUCUGAGAGGACGAUCAGCCACACUGGGACUGAGACACGGCCCAGACUCCUACGGGAGGCAGCAGUGGGGAAUCUUGCGCAAUGCGCGAAAGCGUGACGCAGCAACGCCGCGUGAGGGAAGAAGGCCUUCGGGUUGUAAACCUCUUUCAGGAGGGACGAAGGUUCAGGCGCGAAUAGCGUCCUGGACUGACGGUACCUCCAGAAGAAGCCCCGGCUAACUACGUGCCAGCAGCCGCGGUAAUACGUAGGGGGCUAGCGUUGUCCGGAAUCAUUGGGCGUAAAGAGCGUGUAGGCGGCCCGGUAAGUCCGCUGUAAAAGUCAAAGGCUCAACCUUUGAAUGUCAGUGGAUACUGCCGGGCUAGAGUCCGGAAGAGGCGAGUGGAACUCCUGGUGUAGCGGUGGAAUGCGCAGAUAUCAGGAAGAACACCAACGGCGAAGGCAGCUCGCUGGGACGGUACUGACGCUGAGACGCGAAAGCGUGGGGAGCGAACAGGAUUAGAUACCCUGGUAGUCCACGCCGUAAACGAUGGGCACUAGGUGUGGGAGGUGUCGACUCCUCCCGUGCCGGCGCUAACGCAUUAAGUGCCCCGCCUGGGGAGUACGGCCGCAAGGCUAAA
rnacentral:rRNA from 1 species